AGUGAACGCUGGCGGCGUGCUUAACACAUGCAAGUCGAACGAGAACGGGUUAUAGCUUGCUAUAAUCGUCAGCUAAGUGGCGCACGGGUGAGUAAUGUAUAGGUAAUAUGCCUCUUACUAAGGGAUAACAAAUGGAAACGUUUGCUAAUACCUUAUACUCCUUAUUAACAGAAGUUAAUAAGGGAAAGAUUUAUUGGUAAGAGAUUAGCCUGUAUUGUAUCAGUUAGUUGGUGGGGUAAUGGCUUACCAAGACUAUGACACAUAACUGGUUUGAGAGGAUGAUCAGUCACACUGGAACUGAGACACGGUCCAGACUCCUACGGAAGGCAGCAGUGGGGAAUAUUGCACAAUGGACGAAAGUCUGAUGCAGCAACGCCGCGUGGAGGAUGACACAUUUCGGUGCGUAAACUCCUUUUAUAUGAGAAGAUAAUGACGGUAUUAUAUGAAUAAGCACCGGCUAACUCCGUGCCAGCCGCCGCCAUAA
rnacentral:rRNA from 1 species